GUAGUCAUAUGCUUGUCUCAAAGAUUAAGCCAUGCAUGUCUAAGUAUAAGCAAUCUAUACGGUGAAACUGCGAAUGGCUCAUUAAAUCAGUUAUCGUUUAUUUGAUAGUACCUUACUACUUGGAUAACCGUGGUAAUUCUAGAGCUAAUACAUGCUAAAAACCCCGACUUCGGAAGGGGUGUAUUUAUUAGAUAAAAAACCAAUGCCUUUCGGGGCUCCUUGGUGAUUCAUAAUAACUUAACGAAUCGCAUGGCCUUGUGCCGGCGAUGGUUCAUUCAAAUUUCUGCCCUAUCAACUUUCGAUGGUAAGGUAUUGGCUUACCAUGGUUUCAACGGGUAACGGGGAAU
rnacentral:rRNA from 1 species